rfam:Schistosoma rodhaini strain Burundi genome assembly, scaffold: SROB_scaffold0000003
AUUCAGUUGAAGAGUCCUAAAUAAGACAAAACGCACAUCCUGGAU